GACGAACGCUGGCGGCGUGCCUAAUACAUGCAAGUAGGACGCAGUUGCGAACGGGUGAGUAACGCGUAGGUAACUGCCUAUUAGAGGGGGAUAACUAUUGGAAACGAUAGCUAAUACCGCAUACUAGUAGAUGGACCUGCGUUGUAUUAGCUAGUAGGUAGGGUAAGGGCCUACCUAGGCAAAGAUACAUAGCCGACUUGAGAGGGGUGCCGGGCAGACUGGGACUGAGAAAGGGCCCAGAGCUCUACUGGAUGCCGCAGUAGUGGAGAUUCGGCAAUGGGGGGAAACCUUACCAAGCAACGCCGCGUGAGUGAAGAAGGUUUUCGGAUCGUAAAGCUCUGUUGUUAAGGAAGCGGUACUUAACCAGAAAGGGACGGCUAACUACGUGCCAGCAGCCGCGGUAAUAC
rnacentral:rRNA from 1 species